GUGCCAGCAGCCGCGGUAAUACGUAGGUGGCAAGCGUUGUCCGGAAUUACUGGGCGUAAAGAGCGCGCAGGCGGCUGGUCAAGUCCGAUGUGAAAGCUCCCGGCUUAACUGGGAAAUUGCAUCGGAAACUGAUCGGCUUGAAGGUGGGAGAGGGUAGUGGAAUUCCCGGUGUAGUGGUGAAAUGCGUAGAUAUCGGGAGGAACACCAGUGGCGAAGGCGACUACCUGGCCCACUCUUGACGCUGAGGCGCGAAAGCUAGGGGAGCGAACGGGAUUAGAUACCCGUGUAGUCC
rnacentral:rRNA from 1 species